rnacentral:lncRNA from 1 species
CGACUCAUAUGAUCUAAACCUUCUCCCAGUAAAACCAUAGUGUAGGUGACAUUUGUCUUAGGGCCUUUCUGUCUACUUUCUCUGGGUCACUCCAUGCCCUUAAAAAUGCUCUCUGGGUCCCAGAGUUUCCUCUGGACACUUUGCCUGGAUUCCCCUUCUGUCUUUAGCAGUGUUUUGUGUCCAGUUUUUUUACAUUCCCUUCAUUCUUGUUUCAGAACAUAUCUGUCUUAUCUUCUAUCUCCCAAGGGUCCAAUUAGAUAAACUCAUCCUCGCUGGCAGAUAAUGGCACCAAUGUGAUCAUCCUCCUAGAGGUAUUUUCAUCUUGGUAUGGAGCCUCCAGAGCUAUCUUUGCUUGAAAGAAUGAAACUUCAGGAAUGAAAGUUUGCACAUAAAGCAAGCCCAUGAGAAAGACAUUUCGGGAAAACUAGAAUCCUGUUAAGUUAUGGGAUUUUUUUCAAGCCACAUGGUUGAUAAGUAGUCUGACCAGGAUCCUGGAGCAACACAAGGAAGACAAGGACCCUUGAAGACAAGGCAGCCUUGAAACCAAAUGAAGCCCUGGGCCAGUGAGCAUGGCAAGAGGAAGACUGUUAAUUGCGAGAAAGCUGGGUCUUGAAGAUGAUUCCAUAUCAACAUACAGGGAGUUCCACCACUGAAUGGUCUAUCGGUUGGGAAUGCCAUCAUUUAUUUUCACCAGUGGGGAAGAAUUGGUAUUAAUAUCAAAACCACAGUACUGUCAUACCCAGCUAUAAUUUGCAAUGUUUAUAUGCCUGUACGAAUGAAUAAUUAACAGUUAAAUGAAUCAAUAUAUAUCUAUCUAUGUGUAGGAAUAUCUAAUCUAUAAUAUAUGCUCGCGUAAGUGGUAAUUAAUCUCUUUUUUGAGACAGGGUCUUUCUCUGUCAUACAGGCUGGAGUGCAAUGACAUGAUUAUGGACCUUCAGGGAUUGAGCAGCUCGACAUCCCAAGGAUCAAGCAAUCCUCCGGCCUCAGCCUACCAAGUAGCUGGGACUACAGCCAUUUGACACCCCACCCAGUUAAUUUUUGUUUUUUGUUUUUUUGUAAAGACAAGGUUUAGCCAUGUUGCCCAGGCUGGUCUGGAACCCCUGGGUUCAAGCAAUCCUCCCACCUCAGCUUCCCAAAGUGCUGGGAUUAUAGGCAUAAGCCACUGCACCCAGCAUAAAUAAUCUCUUAUUUGUUCAUCCAUGGUGUUGUCUUUAGUUUUUAAAAAUGGAUCCUUUUGUUAUUCUUUUAUAGCCCCAGAUUAAGAAUUUGUCCAAGUUUUGUAUAUUUUUUCAGUUAUUUCAAUAUCAAAGCCCAGCACAUCUUUAAAAUCACUUCUAUGUAUAGAUAUUAACCUUUUUGACAUUUGUGUUUUGGUAUUCCAUAUUUACUCAGUUCUCCUUUCACACCCUCCCUUUAGAAGAGGAGUAUGACCAUGGCAGGAUGGAGGGGUAGUGGCAGUAGGGGCCAUAGUAUGUUUUCUAUAUUUAUCCAGCAUAUUUAAAACAUGGUAUUCUAGCUUCAAGGGAGAACAUUGAACUCCCAUUUGGACAUGUUAAGUUGAAGAUGUCUGUUAGACACCCAAGAGAAUAUGUCAAGCAGAUAUCAUCUGCCCUUGUUUUUCCUUUUCCAAACUGGCUCUCCUUAGUUCCAUCUCCAGAUGACAUGGUCCUCAAACCCUUUGUGAUCUUGGUUCUCUACUCCAGUUCUUCAAUGUUUUUCUUGAAUGUGGCACCCAGAAUUAAAUAGAGCACCCCAGAUAAUGGCUGCCCAGCAGGAUAGACAUGUGUUUGUUAUAUAAUUCUUAGAGACUAUAGCUGACGUCACUGGUGCCCAGCCCAUAUCUUCUUGAGCCCUAGCAUUUUCGUGCAUGGUGGCCUGAUUUCUAACUGUCAGCACCUAAAUAUCUUUGCCUGAGGACUUUCUCUGUCGGCCAGAGCCUGCUUUGUGCACAGUCAGAAGUGCCAAGGAGUCAACACUCCCCAAAGGAGUCUUCAGCCAGUAACGAAAUGAAAGGUGGAGUAUAAAAACCCCAGCUCCCUCACCACUCAGCUGGGGUAGCCCUGAGAUUCAUGCUCUCCACCCUCUUCAGAGUUUCCCGGCAGCAUCAUGUUCCUGUUACCCUUCUCACUACUGACUUGAUGCUCAUCCUUUCUUGGCUCCUUCCCUGUGUCACUUCCCCCAUCCCAUAUGGGAGAAGGCUUCCUGGGUUCACCUUCCAAAGUAAUUACUGGUACUGGAAUUCUCAUCUCAAGUUUUGCCUUAGGGUCACCCAAACUAAGACAGUGCCUAAUGCUGCAUCAGCUUUCUUACCAGUCACAUGAUGCUGUUGUAUCCUUAAUGUCAGAUAAACUCCCAGCUUCUUUUUAUGUCAACUGCUACCAAGCCACACAUUCUCAGUGCUGUGCCUUUGUUAUUGAUUUUUUAACCUAAACUCAGAGUUUAUGUUUAUUCCUGUUAUACUCUUAAGUUUUUUUCCAUAUUCCAACCUAACAGAAUAACUUUGAAUAUUGAUUUGUUCUUUCGUUGUGUUAACUAUCCCUUCCAGACAUGAGUCAUAUGUAGAAAUCUGAUAAGCAUGUUUCCUGUGCCUUCAUUCACUUAAAACAAACAAACAAACAAACUUUGAACAAGGUAGGGUUAGGAAAAGAAUUCUAAACUCAAUUCCUCCCAUUGUUCAAUAAUCAAGAUUCUUUCAGUAAGAAUGCUUAUUGGUAGUGAUUCAAACUAUCUGCACCAGUUCAACCCAGAAUUUACAAAUUUGCCCAUAGGAAUAUCAGGCAAGCUCAGCUCAGUUGCUUUGCUAGAAUAGAGAAGAUCCACAAUUAUGUCAUGCCUCUGAUACAUGAGCCUAUAACCUUAUCAGAAAGGAAAUAUGGUUCAUUUGGCUUGUUAUUAGCAAUUUUAUUUUAACCACUAAGAACCUCUGAAUUCAUUUCUAAAACCCUCCAAUCUUCCUUUUAUUUUCUUUUAUUUAUAUAUAUAUAUUUUUAUUUUAUUUUACUUUAUUUUUGAGACAGAGUCUCACUCUGUCACCAGGCUGGAGUGCAGUGGCAUGAUCUCGGCUCACUGCAACCUCUGCAUCCCGGGUUCAAGCAAUUCCUCUGCCUCAGCCUCCCAAGUAGCUGGGAAUACAGGUGCACACCACCAUGCCCAGCUAAUUUUUGUAUUUUUAGUAGAGAUGGUGUUUCACCAUGUUGGCCAGGAUGGUCUCGAUCUCUUGACCUUGUGAUCUGCCCACCUCGGCCUCCCAAAGUGCUGGGAUUACAGGCGUGAGCCAUCACGCCUGGCCUCCAAUCUUCCUUUUAAUAAUUUGAUCUGGAAUUUUAUCAGGGAGCUAUGCAUGCAUGUCAGGGGAGAUCAAGUUUAUGGUUUCCAGAAUCUACACUUUCUUUUUGAGAAUGGGAACUUUUGCCAGUACAUUGUUUUCCUAUCCUCAUUUCCAUAAUUUCUCAACAACAGUAAGUAGUUUUAAGGUCACAUUUGCAAGUUUUUUGAGGAGCCUGGGAUGUAACUUUUCUGGAGACUUCAACCUACUUUAAAUGGUCACAUGCCCCCUGUGUCCCUCACUGCCUCCCUUCUGCUGAGCUCUCCCCAGUCCUGGGAAGGCUGAUUCUUUAGCUAGAGAACCCAGACCAGCCCUGUGGCCUCAUAUUUCCACAUCAGCCUUCUUGAAUCUGUGUUCCUCCCCCCUCACUUAUCUUUUUACAUCAAACACAUGGCUCAAAGCUUUUGAUAUUUGACUUGACUCUUCAGGACCCCAAGCUCCUCUGACUCAGCCCUCCACCCCCCACCCCUAACCCACGGCCCACUCUGCUUGAGGGCUCCCCAAAACCUCAAACUCCACCGUAAGCUCCCUGAGCAGCCACAAGGAUUUUGGGGUUUGGUUUGGUUUUGCCUCUUACUCCCUUUUCAUUUUCCCUGGCAUCAUUCACAUUCACCAAUCAGAUUCAUUUUUAUCAUCUCCUAUUCCUCAUGAGAAAUACAUUUUUUUAUAACCUUUUACCUUGAAUUCAAAUCCAUUUUUCCUCUGAAGCACCUGAGGUGAGGUGGGUAUCUCCUCUUGUCCUAAUCUUAUCCACAUGCCAUGAUAUGGUUUGUCUGUGUCCCUACCCAAAUCUCAUCUUGAAUCAUAGCUCCUGUAAUCCCCAUGUGUUGUGGGAAGAACCUGGUGGGAGGUAAUUGAAUCAGAGGGGUGGGUUUUUCCCAUGCUGUUCUUGUGAUAAUGAAUAAGUUUCAUGAGAUCUGAUGGUUUUAUAAAGGCGAGUUCCCCUGCAAAAUGCUCUCUUUCCUGCCACCAUGUAAGAUGUGACUUUGCUUCUCCUUUGCUUCCACCAUGAUUGUGAGUCCUCCCCAGCCAUGUGGAACUGUGAGUCAAUUAAACCUCUUUCCUUUAUAAAUUACCCAGUCUCAGAUAUGUCUUUAUUAGCAGCAUCAAAACAGACUAAUACACACCACCAGUUUUCCUCCUGCAUGUUCCUCAGUUCUGCUAGAACUGUAAAAAGAUGGAUUCCAUAGACUGGAGUCACCCUGAGGGCAGGGAUGGACCCCUAU